rnacentral:rRNA from 1 species
GACGAACGCUGGCGGCGUGCCUAAUACAUGCAAGUCGAACGCACUCUCGUUUAGAUUGAAGGAGUUUGCUCCUGAUUGAUAAACAUUUGAGUGAGUGGCGGACGGGUGAGUAACACGUGGGUAACCUGCCCUAAAGUGGGGGAUAACAUUUGGAAACAGAUGCUAAUACCGCAUAAAACCUAACACCGCAUGGUGUAGGGUUGAAAGAUGGUUUCGGCUAUCACUUUAGGAUGGACCCGCGGUGCAUUAGUUAGUUGGUGAGGUAAAGGCUCACCAAGACCGUGAUGCAUAGCCGACCUGUGAGGGUAAUCGACCACACUGGGACUGAGACACGGCACAGACUCCUACAGGAGGCAGCAGUAGGGAAUCUUACACAAUGGACGAAAGUCUGAUGGAGCAACGCCGCGUGAGUGAAGAAGGUGUUCGGAUCGUAAAACUCUGUUGUUGGAGAAGAAUGUAUCUGAUAGUAACUGAUCAGGUAGUGACGGUAGCCAAGCAGAAAGCCACGGCUAACUACGUG